GGGUCAGUAGGUUGGUCGUGCCACCGGUACGUACUGGUCUCACUGAUUCCUCCUUCCUGAAGAACCGUAAUGCCAUUAAUUUGGUGUUGCUGGGAAACAGGACUGUUACUUCGAAAAAAUUAGAGUGUUUAAAGCAAGCUAACGCUUGAAUACAUUAGCAUGGAAUAAUGAAAUAGGACGAUCGAUCCUAUUUUGUUGGUUUCUAGGAUUGACGUA
rnacentral:rRNA from 1 species